ACAGCAUGGCGGCAACUGCCUCCGUGAUUCAAUUAUCUCCAUCUGGUGCUGCCCUUGACAUGUGGGGAUUAUUACAAUUCAAGGCAGGUCCUUCAGGAGGUAUCCAGAAGAAGGCACUGUUAUCACAGGAGAUGACAGCUCCAUGUGUGUUAUUACCCCUGAAGACCUUCCAGUGGGACAAGAUGUGGAGGUGGAGAUGGUGAUAUUGAUGAUCCUGGCCCUGCGUAGGCCUAGGCUAGUGUCUACCCCAUUCUGCAUCAUCUCAGAAAAUAAAUUUUGCUUAUUUUUUUAAAUAUUAGAGAUAACUCCAACAGGUAGCAUGGGUGAAACAUAUUGGGGGGCUACAAUAUCACCAUAAUUUCACUCAGACUCCAUAGAGUCAUGCAAAAUAAAUAUAUACUCAAUAGUGCACUGCAGCCAGCUCAUAGUUGCUCAUAAGAGUGGAUUAUAAUAUCUCUUCCCUACUCUCCAUGCAGUAACU
rnacentral:lncRNA from 10 species